rnacentral:rRNA from 2 species
AGCAUUAUACCGUGAAACUGCGAAUGGCUCAUUAAAUCAGUUAUCGUUUAUUUGAUAGUACCUUACUACUUGGAUACCCGUGGUAAUUCUAGAGCUAAUACAUGCUAAAAACCCCGACUUCGGGAGGGGUGUGUUUAUUAGAUAAAAAACCAACGCCCUUCGGGGCUCCUUGGUGAUUCAUGAUAACCUCUCAGAUCGCACGGCCUUGCGCCGGCGACGGUUCAUUCAAAUUUCUGCCCUAUCAACUUUCGAUGGUAAGGUAUUGGCUUACCAUGGUUUCAACGGGUAACGGGGAAUUAGGGUUCGAUUCCGGAGAGUGAGCCUGAGAAACGGCUCACACAUCCAAGGAAGGCAGCAGGCGCGCAAAUUACCCAAUCCCGACACGGGGAGGUAGUGACAAUAAAUACUGAUACAGGGCUCUUUUGGGUCUUGUAAUUGGAAUGAGUACAAUUUAAACCUCUUAACGAGGAACAAUUGGAGGGCAAGUCUGGUGCCAGCAGCCGCGGUAAUUCCAGCUCCAAUAGCGUAUAUUAAAGUUGUUGCAGUUAAAAAGCUCGUAGUUGAAUCUUUGGCCUGGCUGGCGGGUCCGCCUCACCGCGUGCACUUGUCCGGCCGGGCCUUCUCUUCUGGAGAACCGCAUGCCCUUCACUGGGCGUGUUGGGGACCAGGACUUUUACUUUGAAAAAAUUAGAGUGUUCAAAGCAGGCCUUUGCUCGAAUACGUUAGCAUGGAAUAAUAGAAUAGGACGUGCGGUCCUAUUUUGUUGGUUUCUAGGACCGCCGUAAUGAUUAAUAGGGACAGUCGGGGGCAUCAGUAUUCAAUUGUCAGAGGUGAAAUUCUUGGAUUUAUUGAAGACUAACUACUGCGAAAGCAUUUGCCAAGGAUGUUUUCAUUAAUCAGUGAACGAAAGUUAGGGGAUCGAAGACGAUCAGAUACCGUCGUAGUCUUAACCAUAAACUAUGCCGACUAGGGAUCGGGCGGUGUUAUCGAUUUGACCCGCUCGGCACCUUGCGAGAAAUCAAAGUGUU